UACGAAGGGGGCUAGCGUUGCUCGGAAUCACUGGGCGUAAAGCGCACGUAGGCGGCUUACUAAGUCAGGGGUGAAAUCCUGGAGCUCAACUCCAGAACUGCCUUUGAUACUGGUGAGCUUGAGUCCGGAAGAGGUGAGUGGAACUGCGAGUGUAGAGGUGAAAUUCGUAGAUAUUCGCAAGAACACCAGUGGCGAAGGCGGCUCUCUGGGGACCACCUGACGCUGAGGCGCGAAAGCGUGGGGAGCGAACCGG
rnacentral:rRNA from 1 species